rnacentral:rRNA from 1 species
UGGGGAAUAUUGCACAAUGGGGGAAACCCUGAUGCAGCAACGCCGCGUGCGGGAUGACGGCCUUCGGGUUGUAAACCGCUUUCAGCCAUGACGAAGCUUUUGUGACGGUAGUGGCAGAAGAAGCACCGGCUAACUACGUGCCAGCAGCCGCGGUGAUACGUAGGGUGCGAGCGUUGUCCGGAAUUAUUGGGCGUAAAGAGCUUGUAGGCGGUUUGUCGCGUCGAAAGUGUAAACUCAGUGCUUAACGCUGAGCCUGCUUUCGAUACGGGCUGACUAGAGGAAGGUAGGGGAGAAUAGAAUUCCCGGUGGAGCGGUGGAAUGCGCAGAUAUCGGGAGGAACACCAGUGGCGAAGGCGGUUCUCUGGACCUUUCCUGACGCUGAGAAGCGAAAGCGUGGGUAGCAAACAGG